rnacentral:rRNA from 1 species
UGGGGAAUAUUGGACAAUGGGCGCAAGCCUGAUCCAGCAAUGCCGCGUGUGUGAAGAAGGCCUUCGGGUUGUAAAGCACUUUUAUCAGGAGCGAAACGCUGUCGGCUAAUACCCGGCGGAACUGACGGUACCUGAGGAAUAAGCACCGGCUAACUUCGUGCCAGCAGCCGCGGUAAUACGAAGAGUGCAAGCGUUAAUCGGAAUUACUGGGCGUAAAGCGUGCGUAGGCGGUUUCUUAAGUCUGUUGUGAAAUCCCCGGGCUCAACCUGGGAAUGGCAGUGGAUACUGGGAGGCUAGAGUGUGUCAGAGGGUGGUGGAAUUCCCGGUGUAGCGGUGAAAUGCGUAGAGAUCGGGAGGAACAUCAGUGGCGAAGGCGGCCACCUGGGACAACACUGACGCUGAGGCACGAAAGCGUGGGGAGCAAACAGGAUUAGGAUACCCUGGUAGUCCACGCCCUAAAGCGAUGCGAACUGGAUGUUGGUCUCAACUCGGAGAUCAGUGUCGAAGCUAACGCGUUAAGUUCGCCGCCU